rnacentral:tRNA from 1 species
GCGCCCGUGGCACAACUGGAUAGCGCGACGGAUUUCUACUCCGUAGGUUGGGGGUUCGAAUCCUCCCGGGCGCGCCA